GUUGAUCAGAAAUUUUCAGCCAUCAUCGUGCAAAAAAAAUCAUCCCUUAGAUGAAUGAAAAAUGACAAAUUGUCUAUUUUUCAAAUGCCAUAUAAAUGAAAAAAAUAACAAUAUUUUUUUGUGACAAAAAUUCAACACAUGAGGAAGCAAUCUCAAUUCCCUCACCUUGGACUUUGUCCCUACAUUUGCAGAGCUUAUUCCUUAUACUGAGUAUGAGCAUCAAUAGUUGAUAACCACUUGUCCCAUCUCACAAAUCAUCAACAUCGCUGAUUUUUGUUGGGCAUGAGUUGAUAAAUACUUUCAGCCUCAUAUACUGCUUAUAGAAAUUUCAAGUUCUCUAUUGGCGUGCCGGAGGUCAGAGAUAGAGACAGACACAACAGGCUCCCAAUGAUCUUAAUUUGCUGAUGAAGCAUCAAAUUCUACAAGAUGAUUAAGGCUUCAGUUAUUUCAAUCUCAAUAUAAUGGAGGCAAAGUUUAAAUGCGAUGAUGCAAAAAAUAUAAAAAAAC
rnacentral:lncRNA from 1 species